rnacentral:rRNA from 1 species
GACGAACGCUGGCGGCGUGCUUAACACAUGCAAGUCGAGCGGUAAGGCUCCUUCGGGAGUACACGAGCGGCGAACGGGUGAGUAACACGUGAGCAAUCUGCCCUUCACACAGGGAUAACUCCGGGAAACCGAAGCUAAUACCUGAUACGACCACUUCAGGCAUCUGAUGGUGGUGGAAAGUUCCGGCGGUGAAGGAUGAGCUCGCGGCCUAUCAGCUUGUUGGUGGGGUAACGGCCCACCAAGGCAACGACGGGUAGCCGGCCUGAGAGGGUGACCGGCCACACUGGGACUGAGACACGGCCCAGACUCCUACGGGAGGCAGCAGUGGGGAAUAUUGGACAAUGGGCGAAAGCCUGAUCCAGCAACGCCGCGUGAGGGAUGACGGCCUUCGGGUUGUAAACCUCUUUCAGCAGGGACGAAGCGCAAGUGACGGUACCUGCAGAAGAAGCACCGGCCAACUACGUGCCAGCAGCCGCAGUAACAC